rnacentral:rRNA from 1 species
GCUUAACGCGAAGAACCUUACCUACUCUUGAAUCCGCGGAAUCUGGCAGAAAUGUUGGAGUGCCUUCGGGAACCGUGAGACAGGUGCUGCAUGGCUGUCGUCAGCUCGUGUCGUGAGAUGUUGGGUUAAGUCCCGUAACGAGCGCAACCCUUAUCCUUAGUUACCAGCGAAUAAAGUCGGGGACUUUAAGGAGACUGCCGGUGAUAAACCGGAGGAAGGUGGGGAUGAUGUCAAGUCCUCAUGGCCCUUACGAGUAGGGCUACACACGUGUUACAAUGGCCGGUACAAAGGGUAGCCAACCCGCGAGGGGGAGCUAAUCUCAUAAAGCCGGUCGUAGUCCGGAUUGGAGUCUGCAACUCGACUCCAUGAAGCUGGAAUCGCUAGUAAUCGCGAAUCAGAACGCCGCGGUGAAUACGUUCCCGGGUCUUGUACACACCG